GCUGUCCUUGCCAUUUCGUUUAAAUGUACAUAGGGAUUUGUGCCAGAGCGCAGGUAACGUUCUCUUUGCUUUUACGAAGUGUUUUGAGCAAGCCUGAACGGAGAAGCCUGUACUGUGGAAUUAUUCCCUCCUUCACAAAUGCCACCCGUCCUAUCCCUCUACAAAUCCCUACAUUAUGUUUUAUGCACCUAGAUGUCUUCCCCACCCUCUCUGUGCAGCCACAUCUCUCGAUUCUAUUACUUUAUGGUUCCUUGGAAAAGAUGCUACUGACGACGCUCUGGCUUGGGGGAGUCUCUAGAUUAGGGUGGCAGGCAG